CAUAGUGUUCUUAGAAUAUAAAAUAUAACCCUGGCAAAAGUUAAACGUUCGAUUGAUUUUUGAAAAAGAAUGUAAAAUCUGCUGUUUAGGAAUGCAGCUUCCUUAAAUAGAAGACGAUAGCACCUCGCUCGCUAAUUAAGGAUCAACUUUCGUUAUCUGUCGAAGUAUACUUUCAACACGUCUCGUAUAUUUUCUAGCUUUGGCUCAGUUUUCGUCAAACUUGUAAAAUGUAUCAAUUAUUUUAGCAGAAAGUCAAAUAAAGUCACAUUAGUAAUAACUUGAAUUCAAAAUGGUCGCCUUUGUUCAUAUGUUUAGAGGCUCCAUAUUCCUAAUUUUAUUCAUUGGAAAACAUACUCAAAUAUUUCAAUGACAUUAAGUUUUCAGAUCUGAAUAUUACCAAAAAGAAUAAGCAAAUCUAAGUUAAAAACACAACAAUAUUCUAUUUCUUUCUAGUAGUAUCGAAAGUAUCAUGAUGUCAUAACAAAAAGUAAAAUCACAAAAAUACUGAACUCCGAGGAAAAUUCAAAAAGGAAAGUCCCUAAUCAAAUGGCAAAAUCAAAAGCUCAAACACAUCAAACGAAUGGAUAACAACUGUCAUAUUCCUGACUUGGUACAGGCAUUUUCUUAUGCAGAAAAUGGUGGAUUGAACCUGGUUUUAAAGCAAAAGAAGUGUUCCAUUACAUGGUUAAAGUCAAACAGUGCUGUUUUUCAAUUCUUUAUAUUAUUUCCGGUCAAUAGACACAGACAAACCUAAUGACUAUUUAAACUCUCGCGUUAAGUAAUAGAUAAUUAGAUAUGCACAAUAUAAUCUAAAAAGAAAAGUUUGACAUUCAUUUACACUUGAUACUUGUUUUGCAACAUUUGAUAUUCUACUGACUUAAUUUUGGAAUAUAUGUCACGUGACGGAUAACUACGGAAUUUGGAACUCAAUGGAUAAAAAAAUCCAUUCUCUGUUAUGUUAUUAAAAUUGAAUUCACAUUUUUCAAGAAAUUAUAUAAAAAUGGUGUGUAACCUUUGACUGAAAACUAACAGACCAAAAGAUUUAACACGAGUGAAUGAUAAAUCAAUAAUAACAAGAAUACAGUUUUCUAAAUCUACUGAAGAUAAAAACGAUAGUUUUGGGAGUAUACUGAAAACCAUAGUAUAUGAGAAUAUGGAACAAAGCUUCAUUCGUCCAUUUAAACGUGCAAGUUCAGAAUCAAGCUUGCAUCGUGUCAACUAUAGGGAAAACUCAAAUUUGUCAGCUCCUCUUAACUAUUUUCCAUCCGUUGAUAAUGCGGUGAGACACUUUAAAGGAAAAACAGACGCUCCAAAAGUAGUAGCUAUUUCAGUCCCCUUAAAUAAAAGACAAUCUUUCUUAGACAACAGUGAUGAACAUCGAUUGAAAUACCACCACCGAAGCGUAGACGAGUUAGAAAAGAUCUCAAAGAAUACGGAAAGAUUACGGACAGUGUUCGAUGAGGAAAUCGAUCUUGAUUAUAUAGACAUCGUGUAUGAAACUAAUAAGCCAUCAAAACAACAUUAUCUUUCACUUUCAUGUGCGCCGCCAUUAAUGUCGAAAUCUAUUUCAAGAAGAAUAAAACUUCAACAGAGGACAGAUUCUCGAGACGGAAGUGCUAAAAGUAAGAAUGAAGACAAAUGUUUUAACGAGACUGACGAAUUACCGGUAGUUUUAACUUGUACCGACGAAUUACUGAACAGAACAACUAACUCCAAACCUACUAGCAGUAAAGUUGGCUGGCGAAAAGUUACAAAUAGCAAUGAAGUUCACAUUGAAGUACAAUCAGACAAAAGUAUUAGCAAUGCUUAUAAUCAUGGCCGACAUUUUAGUGCUAAAUCUUCACAUACCGAUGUAAACCCUGAUCCAUUUUCUACUGCACAUAGACUAUCUUAUUUCCGUAAGACACACGGAUUUGCUGGCGGUUUUAAUCGGGCUAAUACUAAAGAUGUGCAAAAAAUGUUAAGAUACAGUAAAUAUAUCAAUCCUAACUUUAAACAUAAAAACUUAAGAUGAUAUAUAUCGAAUACGAGUAGUCAAAUAGUAAAAUCAAAUAAAAUAUAUUUUGUGUUAUUUAAACACGCCAUAAUGUUUGUAAGGAGAAAAGAAACAUUUGUGUAUUGAUGUGAGAGUGGGUUCUGAAAUGUACUAAAUAAAAAAAACCUUCUAAA